ensembl:lncRNA
GAACCUGAUAUACAUGAAACUCCACACUCCAGGGUGUGGAGGUUGAUACUUCAGGUGGUUAGGGUUAGGGUUAGGGUUAGGUGGUUAGGGUCAGGGUUAGGGUUAGGGUUAAGGUUAGGGGUUAGGGGUUAGGGUCAGGGUUAGGGUGGGGGUUAGGGUCAGGGAUAGGGCCAGGGGGGAUAGGGUUGGGGUUAGGGUUAGUCAAACAGUGCACAGUUUGUCUGGGGUGAGUCAGUGAAAGGGAAAGAAAUAUAAAAGGAAAGAAAGAAAAAGAGAAACAAUGUCAAUAAAGAAGAGAGGCAGCCCCGCUCUGCACCACAGUGAGGACAUUUCUCCCGUGUUAGUUUUUUUUUCUGCCUUUUUUGUUUCAUUUGAAUUACAAAAGCCCCCCCCCCACAAGAACAACAGGUCCCGAGUCAAAGAGCAUCACCCCGGUGUGCAGGGGUUAGGGUUAGGGUUAGGGGUUAGGGUCUGCAGGGGUGGUCGGCGGCCCCCGGGCUACAGACCACCGCAUGAGAUCCCGGCCGCUGCAUGGAGUACAGACCACCUCAUGAGUUGGUCUGUCUGGAGUACAGACCACCUCAUGAGGUCCUGGCCGCUGCAUGGAGUACAGACCACCUCAUGAGUUGGUCUGUCUGGAGUACAGACCACCUCAUGAGGUCCAGGCCACUGCAUGGAGUACAGACCCAACUUUGUGUUUGUAUAAAUACAUUUCUACAUUGAGUUGCUUCAAGUCAAGUCGUGAUCAUAGUUUUUAAAUAUAUAUAAUAUUCAUACAGAUAUAUAGUUAUAUCUAGAUCUAUAUUAUUAUCUUAUAUAGAUAUAUUUAGAUAUAUUAUCUUAUAUACAGAUAUCUA